CCCUUAGAUGUUCUGGGCCGCACGCGCGCUACACUGAUGAAUUCAACAAGUAUUAGACCUCAGUUAAUUCUGUUUGGUCGCUUCUUGGUUGAGAGGCCUGGAUAAUCUUUUAAACGUUCAUCGUGAUGGGGCUAGAUUAUUGCAAUUAUUAAUCUUCAACGAGGAAUUUCUAGUAAACGCAAGUCAUCAGCUUGCAUUGAUUACGUCCCUGCCCUUUGUACACACCGCCCGUCGCACCUACCGAUUGAAUGGUCCGGUGAAAACUUCGGAUUCUUCUAGACUGGUGUUAAUUCGCCUGGUCCCGAGGGAAAAUUUGUUUGAACCUUACCAUUUAGAGGAAGGUGAAGUCGUAACA
rnacentral:rRNA from 1 species